GACACUGGCGUUACCACUUGACCAAGG
rnacentral:piRNA from 1 species